rnacentral:rRNA from 1 species
GACGAACGCUGGCGGCGUGCUUAACACAUGCAAGUCGAACGGAAAGGCCCUGCUUGCAGGGUACUCGAGUGGCGAACGGGUGAGUAACACGUGGGUGAUCUGCCCUGCACUUCGGGAUAAGCCUGGGAAACUGGGUCUAAUACCGGAUAGGAGCCAUUUUUAGUGUGAUGGUUGGAAAGUUUUUUCGGUGUAGGAUGAGCUCGCGCCCUAUCAGCUUGUUGGUGGGGUAAUGGCCUACCAAGGCGGCGACGGGUAGCCGGCCAGAGCGGGUGGACGGCAACAUUAGAACUGGGAGUCGACUCAGUUUCCUACGGGAGGGAGCAGUGCGGAAGAAUGCAAAAUGGGCGCAAGCCUGAUGCAGCUACGCCGCGUAGGCGAUGUCUGCCGUUGGGUUGUAAGCGCAGGUCGCGAGGGACGAAGCGUUUUGUGACGGUACCUAGAUAUGAAGCCCCUGCUCACUACGUG